rnacentral:lncRNA from 1 species
GUGCCCCACCACCCACCCCCCCACCCCUCCUCUCUACCGCGCCUGACCACGCCAUUCCUCUACCACGCCCUGUCUCUACCACGCCCUGUCUCUACCACGCCUUGUCUCUACCACGCCUUGUCUCUACACGCCUUGUCUCUACCACGCCUUGUCUCUACCACGCCUUGUCUCUUCCACGGCCUGUCGCUACCACGGCCUCCACGCCCUGUCUCUACCACGCCCUGUCUCUACCACGCCCUGUCUCUACCACGGCCUGUCUCUACCCACGGCCUUGUCUCUACCACGGCCUGUCUCUACCACCAGGGCUUGUCUCUACGGGCUGUCUCUACCG